GGCCGCCUGGCGAAAUGGCAUCGCGUCUGACUACGAUUAUGGCGUGGGAAAGUCGCUUACGUAAUCAUCAGGAGAUUGCAGGUUCGACCCCUGCGGUGGUCA
rnacentral:tRNA from 1 species